UAGUUAUCAGAUCUCGAUUAAAUUUAUAUGUGACCACAUGAUAAGCGUCAACUUUCGAUUAAAUUAAAAAUUAUCAAAAUCGGUACAUCCAGUAAAAAGUUAUUACGGAUUUUCGAGAGUUUCCCUCGAUUCCUCUGGGAUCCCAUCAUCAGAUCCUAGUUUCCUUAUCACGGUACCAAACUAGGGAUAUCCCCUUUCCAACAAAAAAAGAAUUAUCAAAAUCGGUACAUCCAGUAGAAAGUUAUGCGGUAUAAUACGACGUAGGUCGAUGAAAAAAGCGUCAAGUAAAAACGCAUUAUUAGAUAUAGCUCGAAAAGUAGUUGUUAGAUCUCAAAUAAAUUUAAAUGGGACCAAUUGGCACACACCACCUUUCGAUUAAAAGAAAAUUUGUCGAAAUCGCUCCACCCAGUCAAAAGUUCUGAUGUAACAUACAUAAAA
rnacentral:misc_RNA from 1 species